CACAGCUGGUGGAUGUGCCUUAAAGGAAGCUGCAGCUUGUGAAGGCAGGACCAGAAAGCCAUCCUUGACCUCUUCUUUAGUGGAAGAGUAUGUGCAAAUGUCAAAGAGCUGCUAACUGUAAUCCAUUCUCUUUCCAGUUAUUGUCAUAGGUUGAUAUUGGAAGCACAAUCACUACAAAUACAGUGAAGUGAAUAUAUAUUCAUUCCUCAGACCCAUAAAAAUGUCCAAUAGAGACUUUGUUUGUAAGAGAAUAUGGAGAACUUAUGCUACACACUGCAGAGGCACUAGGUAGUGACUAAAGGAACUUGCCUAUCAAUUGCUUAAAAGAUUCAACUAAAGGAUUGGAAUAAUUGAGAAGACUGGUAGGCACUGGAGCAUGGAGAGCCCUUCAGCCUCUGUGGAUAUAUACUACAGAAUAAAAUGAUCAACUCUCUCAA